GCCGGGGUAGCUCAGUGGUUGAGCGCGGGACUCAUAAUCCCGAGGUCGGGGUUCGACCCCCCGCCCCGGCACCA
rnacentral:tRNA from 1 species